rnacentral:siRNA from 1 species
AUCUAUGUCGUCGAAAAUUCGU